rnacentral:rRNA from 1 species
UACGUAGGGCGCAAGCGUUUGUCCGGAAUUAUUGGGCGUAAAGAGCUCGUAGGCGGUUUGUCGCGUCUGUCGUGAAAGCCCACGGCUUAACCGUGGGUCUGCGGUGGAUACGGGCAGACUAGAGGCAGGUAGGGGGAGAAUGGAAUUCCCGGUGUAGCGGUGAAAUGCGCAGAUAUCGGGAGGAACACCGGUGGCGAAGGCGGUUCUCUGGGCCUGUACUGACGCUGAGGAGCGAAAGCGUGGGGAGCGAAC